rnacentral:rRNA from 1 species
GUGGAUUAGAUACCCUGGUAGUCCACGCUGUAAACGAUGUGCGCUGGAUGUUGGGUGACUUAGUCACUCAGUGUCGUAGCUAACGCGAUAAGCGCACCGCCUGGGGAGUACGGCCGCAAGGUUGAAACUCAAAGGAAUUGACGGGGGCCCGCACAAGCGGUGGAGCAUGUGGUUUAAUUCGACGCAACGCGCAGAACCUUACCAGCUCUUGACAUCUGUCGGACUUCGCAGAGAUGCGUUGGUGCCCGCAAGGGAACGGCAAGACAGGUGCUGCACGGCCGUCGACAGCU